CUACGGGUGGCUGCAGUCGAGAAUCUUCCGCAAUGGACGAAAGUCUGACGGAGCGACGCCGCGUGCGGGAUGAAGGCCUUCGGGUUGUAAACCGCUGUCAGUGGGGAGGAAAUGCAUCAGGGUUCUCCCUGGUGUUUGACCGAUCCGCAGAGGAAGCGCAGGCUAAGUUCGUGCCAGCAGCCGCGGUAACACGAACUGCGCGAACGUUAUUCGGAAUCACUGGGCUUAAAGAGUUCGUAGGCGGCCUUUCAAGUCGGGUGUGAAAUCCCUCGGCUCAACCGAGGAAUUGCGCCUGAUACUGGUGGGCUUGAGGGGGAUAGGGGUGAGCGGAACUGAAGGUGGAGCGGUGAAAUGCGUUGAUAUCAUCAGGAACACCGGUGGCGAAGGCGGCUCACUGGAUCUCUUCUGACGCUGAGGAACGAAAGCUAGGGGAGCGAACGGGAUUAGAUACCCGUGUAGUC
rnacentral:rRNA from 1 species